rnacentral:rRNA from 1 species
UACGAAGGGAGCUAGCGUUGUUCGGAAUCACUGGGCGUAAAGCGCACGUAGGCGGAUGUGUCAGUCAGGGGUGAAAUCCCGGAGCUCAACUUCGGAACUGCCUUUGAUACAGCACAUCUGGAGUCCGGAAGAGGUGGGUGGAAUUCCUAGUGUAGAGGUGAAAUUCGUAGAUAUUAGGAAGAACACCAGUGGCGAAGGCGGCUCACUGGACCGGUUCUGACGCUGAGGCGCGAAAGCGUGGGGAGCAAACGGG